CUCCGGGGGUCACCGGGUCGCGGCCGCCGCCCCUCACAGGCCGCUCCCUCCGCCGCCGCGGGGCAAGCUCAAGGCGGGGCCUACCCGGGUGCGUCUGAAGGGAACCGCUUGUAGUGAGGAAAGUGUCUACGUUUGGGACAGCACAAUCCCACCAUAAAGUCCUCUAUCAACCUCUCAUUCUGAGGGAGCUUCAGUUAAUAGAUGCAAAGACUGGCAGCUUGUUCACUCAUUGGUGACCUUAGCUGCACCCUUGGAAGACUUCUUUGGCAGCAGGGAAAGGAGACACACACAGCAGGCCCAAGCAGGUGCCGUGAUGACCUCUGGCACUUUUCCGGGCAGAGGAAUUGCUGACUUUGAAUUCGUGUAUUGCUGAAGUCUUAACUCACGAAAAUAAAGCUUCCCUCUGUAUUCACUUAAUACUAUCUCAGUGCUCAUCUAAAAGUAAGAUAUCAGAGUGGAAAACCUGCCAGAUUUAAAUGUGUUCAACUUUCUACUGAAGAAAUUCAGCAAAAAGGCUAAGGUUGAGUCAAAGACUGGUGUCUUUGAAUACUACUUUCGGAUCCAAAUAUAAGCUUACCACUUUAAAAAUAUUAACCCAUCUCUCCCAUCUAAUGUGAAAAAGGAGUCUAAAUACCACCAGGAUUAUGACCUUCAAUAUUGACAGAUGAUAAUGGGCUAAACAGAUGAACAGAUGUUCACUGGGUUGCAGUGAUACUGUGGAAACGCAAAUCUUAAGUAAGAAAAAGGAAAUAAAUUCAAUACCUUGAUCCUCUCCAAAACUUCCUCGAUGUAUACCAGACUGCAUGUUAUAUACAUCUACUGUUCCUGAUGAGAGACCAAUUACAGCAAAAUUUCCGCAAGAAGUUAUAUCUACCGCCUUAGAAAACAAAAUUUAAAGACAAAUGAUACAGAAAAUAACCAACAUUUUUACUGUACUGUAUGAUUUCCAAAUAUCUUUUUAUCUACUAAUUAUCUCAUUAAAAAAAAAACAUGUUAAAUGAAUUGUC